rnacentral:rRNA from 1 species
AGGGUUCGUGACUGGGGUGAAGUCGUAACAAGGUAGCCGUAUCGGAAGGUGCGGCUGGAUCACCUCCUUU